UACGUAGGGCGCAAGCGUUGUCCGGAAUUAUUGGGCGUAAAGAGCUCGUAGGCGGUUUUGUCGCGUCGGAUGUGAAAGCCCCGGGGCUUAACCCCCGGGUCUGCAUUCGAUACGGGCAGACUGGAGUGUGGUAGGGGAGAUCGGAAUUCCCGGUGUAGCGGUGAAAUGCGCAGAUAUCAGGAGGAACACCGGUGGCGAAGGCGGAUCUCUGGGCCAUUACUGACGCUGAGGAGCGAAAGCGUGGGGAGCGAACAGG
rnacentral:rRNA from 1 species